AACGUAGGAGACAAACGUUAUCCGGAGUUACUGGGCGUAAAGGGCGUGUAGGUGGUGCUGUAAGUUCGGCGUGAAAUUUUUCGGCUUAACCGGGAAAGGUCGUCGGAUACUGCAGGACUAGAGGACGGUAGAGGCGUGUGGAAUUCCGGGUGUAGUGGUGAAAUGCGUAGAGAUCCGGAGGAACACCAGUGGCGAAGGCGACACGCUGGGCCGUACCUGACACUGAGGCGCGAUAGCAUGGGGAGCAAACAGGG
rnacentral:rRNA from 1 species